rnacentral:rRNA from 1 species
CAGCACCUCAAGUGGUCAGGAUGAUUAUUGGGCCUAAAGCAUCCGUAGCCGGCGCUGUAAGUUUUCGGUUAAAUCUGUACGCUCAACGUACAGGCUGCCGGGAAUACUGCAGCGCUAGGGAGUGGGAGAGGUAGACGGUACUCGGUAGGAAGGGGUAAAAUCCUUUGAUCUAUUGAUGACCACCUGUGGAGAAGGCGGUCUACCAGAACACGUCCGACGGUGAGGGAUGAAAGCUGGGGGAGCAAACCGGAUUAGAUACCCGAGUAGUCC